AACGAACGCUGGCGGCGUGCCUAACACAUGCAAGUCGAGCGAGAAAGUCCCGGCAACGGGAUGAGUAAAGCGGCAAACGGGUGAGUAACGCGUGGGUAAUCUACCCUACGGAUCGGGAUAACCUGCCGAAAGGUGGACUAAUACCGGAUGAUGCUCUCGCGGUGAUUCCGUGGGAACCAAAGGGGGCGAGCGUAAGCAGCUCUCACCGAAGGAGGAGCCUGCGUCCGAUUAGCUAGUUGGUGGGGUAAUGGCCUACCAAGGCGACGAUCGGUAGCCGGCCUGAGAGGGCGAUCGGCCACACUGGAACUGAGACACGGUCCAGACUCCUACGGGAGGCAGCAGUGGGGAAUAUUGCGCAAUGGGCGAAAGCCUGACGCAGCGACGCCGCGUGGGUGAUGAAGGCCUUCGGGUCGUAAAGCCCUGUCUGGUGGAACGAAACGCCUGGCGGCCAAUACCCGCCGGGUUUGACGGUACCACUGAAGGAAGCCCCGGCUAACUACGUGCCAGCAGCCGCGGUAAGACGUAGGGGGCGAGCGUUGUUCGGAUUUACUGGGCGUAAAGCGCGCGUAGGCGGCCAGAUAAGUCGGGUGUGAAAGCCCUCGGCUCAACCGAGGUUCCGCAUCCGAUACUGCUUGGCUGGAGUCUAGGAGAGGAGAGCGGAAUUCCCAGUGUAGCGGUGAAAUGCGUAGAUAUUGGGAGGAACACCCGUGGCGAAGGCGGCUCUCUGGACUGGUACUGACGCUGAGGCGCGAAAGCUAGGGGAGCGAACGGGAUUAGAUACCCCGGUAGUCCUAGCCGUAAACGAUGGGCACUAGGUGUGGGAGGUAUUGACCCCUUCCGCGCCGAAGCUAACGCAUUAAGUGCCCCGCCUGGGGAGUACGGCCGCAAGGCUAAAACUCAAAGGAAUUGACGGGGGCCCGCACAAGCGGUGGAGCAUGUGGUUCAAUUCGACGCAACGCGAAGAACCUUACCAGGGCUUGACAUCCCACGAACCUGCCUGAAAGGGCGGGGUGCC
rnacentral:rRNA from 1 species